AGUGAACGCUGGCGGUAGGCCUAACACAUGCAAGUCGAACGGCAGCACAGGAGAGCUUGCUCUCUGGGUGGCGAGUGGCGGACGGGUGAGGAAUACAUCGGAAUCUACUCUGUCGUGGGGGAUAACGUAGGGAAACUUACGCUAAUACCGCAUACGACCUACGGGUGAAAGCAGGGGACCUUCGGGCCUUGCGCGAUUGAAUGAGCCGAUGUCGGAUUAGCUAGUUGGCGGGGUAAAGGCCCACCAAGGCGACGAUCCGUAGCUGGUCUGAGGGGAUGAUCAGCCAAACUGGAACUGAGACACGGUCCAGACUCCUACGGGAGGCAGCAGUGGGGAAUAUUGGACAAUGGGCGCAAGCCUGAUCCAGCCAUACCGCGUGGGUGAAGAAGGCCUUCGGGUUGUAAAGCCCUUUUGUUAGGAAAGAAAUCCAGCUGGCUAAUACCCGGUUGGGAUGACGGUACCCAAAGAAUAAGCACCGGCUAACUUCGUGCCAGCCGCCGCAGUAA
rnacentral:rRNA from 1 species